rnacentral:rRNA from 1 species
UACGUAGGGUGCAAGCGUUAAUCGGAAUUACUGGGCGUAAAGCGUGCGCAGGCGGUUCCAUAAGACAGAUGUGAAAUCCCCGGGCUCAACCUGGGAACUGCAUUUGUGACUGUGGGGCUAGAGUACGGUAGAGGGGGAUGGAAUUCCGCGUGUAGCAGUGAAAUGCGUAGAUAUGCGGAGGAACACCAAUGGCGAAGGCAAUCCCCUGGACCUGUACUGACGCUCAUGCACGAAAGCGUGGGGAGCAAACAGG